CCCUGCAGCCACGAGGAGCUAAAGAGAGUUACAAAAAUGGAAACGAUGCUUCUUUUGUGUUUGUUAAACGCUUUAAACAGUCACGUACGAAGAGGAUACAUUUUUAGCUGGUAUCAAGGAGUCAAUAAGCAGGAUCUACAGAGGACCCUAUAUGUGCACGAGUGGAGACCGGAUAAGGAAACCAGAUCUUUCAGAGGAAUCCUGAAGAGAGAACACGCAGUCUCCACAAAAAUAUGCCUGGUCUGGGAAUGAUGCUGUGAGUAGCCUGUUCUUCUCAGCCUCCUGCUCAGAUCCUCUGUCUGUCUGCCAGCCCAGCGGCUCCAGCGUUCAGCUCCACUAACCU